rnacentral:rRNA from 1 species
CCCUUAGAUGUUCUGGGCCGCACGCGCGCUACACUGAUCGGUGCAACAAGCAUCCGUCCUUGGCCGACAGGCCCGGGCAAUCUUUGAACGCCGGUCGUGAUGGGGAUAGACCUUUGCAAUUUUUGGUCUUCAACGAGGAAUUCCUAGUAAACGCAAGUCAUCAACUUGCAUUGAUUACGUCCCUGCCCUUUGUACACACCGCCCGUCGCACCUACCGAUUGAAUGGUCCGGUGAAACCUCCGGAUUGGCGCGUGCCCUCGGGCGCCGCCGAGAAGUUGGUUAAACCUUACCACUUAGAGGAAGGAGAAGUCGUAACA